AUUCAAUAUUAUGUCAUAGGUGCCAAAUAAAGGAUAUUUAUUUGGUGAAAAGGGAAACAGGUGCGAAUCCUGUACGAACUCGUCACUGUAAUCAGGGAGUUUGUAACCAACGUUAUGCACGUUAAAUCACUAGGAAACUGGGAAGAUGGUUACAUACUAUGAUCUGAAAGUCAGGAGACCUGCCAUGACUGGUACAAAGGCU
rnacentral:ncRNA from 23 species